GAUGAACGCUGGCGGCGUGCUUAACACAUGCAAGUCGAACGGGAAACCUUUUAUUGAAGCUUCGGCAGAUUUAGCUGGUUUCUAGUGGCGGACGGGUGAGUAACGCGUGGGUAACCUGCCUUAUACAGGGGGAUAACAACCAGAAAUGGUUGCUAAUACCGCAUAAGCGCACAGGUACCGCAUGGUCCGGUGUGAAAAACUCCGGUGGUAUAAGAUGGACCCGCGUUGGAUUAGCUAGUUGGCAGGGUAACGGCCUACCAAGGCGACGAUCCAUAGCCGGCCUGAGAGGUGAACGGCCACAUUGGGACUGAGACACGGCCCAG
rnacentral:rRNA from 1 species